rnacentral:rRNA from 1 species
CGGACGGGUGAGUAAUGUCUGGGAAACUGCCUGAUGGAGGGGGAUAACUACUGGAAACGGUAGCUAAUACCGCAUAAUGUCGCAAGACCAAAGAGGGGGACCUUCGGGCCUCUUGCCAUCAGAUGUGCCCAGAUGGGAUUAGCUAGUAGGUGGGGUAACGGCUCACCUAGGCGACGAUCCCUAGCUGGUCUGAGAGGAUGACCAGCCACACUGGAACUGAGACACGGUCCAG